ACGGGUGAGUAACACGUGAGUAACCUGCCCUUGACUCUGGGAUAAGCCUGGGAAACUGGGUCUAAUACCGGAUAUGACUCCUCAUCGCAUGGUGGGGGGUGGAAAGCUUUUGUGGUUUUGGAUGGACUCGCGGCCUAUCAGCUUGUUGGUGGGGUAAUGGCCUACCAAGGCGACGACGGGUAGCCGGCCUGAGAGGGUGACCGGCCACACUGGGACUGAGACACGGCCCAGACUCCUACGGGAGGCAGCAGUGGGGAAUAUUGCACAAUGGGCGCAAGCCUGAUGCAGCGACGCUGCGUGAGGGAUGACGGCCUUCGGGUUGUAAACCUCUUUCAGUAGGGAAGAAGCGUAAGUGACGGUACCUGCAGAAGAAGCGCCGGCUAACUACGUGCCAGCAGCCGCGGUAAUACGUAGGGCGCAAGCGUUAUCCGGAAUUAUUGGGCGUAAAGAGCUCGUAGGCGGUUUGUCGCGUCUGCUGUGAAAGACCGGGGCUCAACUCCGGUUCUGCAGUGGGUACGGGCAGACUAGAGUGCAGUAGGGGAGACUGGAAUUCCUGGUGUAGCGGUGAAAUGCGCAGA
rnacentral:rRNA from 1 species